rnacentral:rRNA from 1 species
UACGUAGGUGACAAGCGUUGUCCGGAUUUAUUGGGCGUAAAGAGCGCGCAGGCGGUCGUUCAAGUCGAGUGUGAAAGCCCCCGGCUCAACUGGGGAGGGUCACUCGAUACUGAUCGACUCGAAGGCAGGAGAGGGUAGUGGAAUUCCCGGUGUAGUGGUGAAAUGCGUAGAUAUCGGGAGGAACACCAGUGGCGAAGGCGGCAUCCUGGACCAUAACUGACGCUGAGGCGCGAAAGCUAGGGGAGCAAACGGG